CAUUCAAAGCUGUCUGAUUCAAAGACAGGAGCGCACGCGAGCAGAUGGAAACCAUGGAAACGAGGAAACCUCAUCAACUGACAAACAGCAAAACUAGCGUCUCUCGCUGUUGUUUUCGCUACUUUCAGGUAAGUUUAGUUAACAUAAUCACACAAAUAAUACAUACAAACGUUCCUGACACCUUUCUUACGUAUAAUUGAUACGCUUCUGUUGAAUAUUUACUUUAUAGAAAUGGUUUUGUGUCUUCUAAAAAGUCCGUUAGCAUCUCAACCGUUUUCAGAAUAGAUCAUCAUGCUGAUGGCCUGCUGCACCCCCUGUCCAAGACAACCUCCACGGCUAUGAACUCGACUAAUGAGAUAUAAUCAUUUGACCCUGUGAUUCUUCAGGACCAGAUCUUGAUGCCAUCCACACUCAGUACAUGACGAAGAUGCUGUGACAAAAAUCAGUCAAGCCACUGCAUGUGAGGUGGAAGCCUCUAUAAAGACAUGGCUCCGUGAUGCCAGGGACGGAGAUGGGGGAAGGCAAGGAAGGGCCAGAACUGCAGAAAUACCUACUGGUGCCCCUGAGGGGAUUGCUUUUUAAUUU